AUUGAACGCUGGCGGCAGGCCUAACACAUGCAAGUCGAGCGGAUGAAGAGAGCUUGCUCUCUGAUUUAGCGGCGGACGGGUGAGUAAUGCCUAGGAAUCUGCCUGGUAGUGGGGGAUAACGUUCCGAAAGGAACGCUAAUACCGCAUACGUCCUACGGGAGAAAGUGGGGGAUCUUCGGACCUCACGCUAUCAGAUGAGCCUAGGUCGGAUUAGCUAGUUGGUGAGGUAAUGAGUCACCAAGGCGACGAUCCGUAACUGGUCUGAGAGGAUGAUCAGUCACACUGGAACUGAGACACGGGCCAGACUCCUACGGGAGGCAGCAGUGGGGAAUAUUGGACAAUGGGCGAAAGCCUGAUCCAGCCAUGCCGCGUGUGUGAAGAAGGUCUUCGGAUUGUAAAGCACUUUAAGUUGGGAGGAAGGGUUGUAGAUUAAUACUCUGCAAUUUUGACGUUACCGACAGAAUAAGCACCGGCUAACUUCGUGCCAGCCGCCGCGGUAA
rnacentral:rRNA from 1 species